ACAUUUUCUUUUUCUAUUUAUGCAUUGAUGGUUACUUAGGUUGUCUCCAUGUCUUAGCUGAUCCAGACCAUUCUUAACCUGGAUUUACACUGGAGUCUACGAGGUCAGACUCUUCAAAGCCCUGGUUUCCAGUGAACUCCUUGCCAUGAGGAGACUGAGUUGUCCCAUCCCCUCAAGAUGCUCAUUGAAACAGCUGGCAGGUUGGCAUAUGUGUAAAUAUUUUUUAAAAUAGGCUUUAUUUUCUAGACCAGUUUUUGGCUCACAACAAUAUUGAGCAGAAGAUUCAUUGAUUUCCCAUAUACCCUUGCCCCCACAUGGGCACAACCUCUCCCAUUGUGAACAUAUGUAUAAAUAUUUUAAAUAUAGUAUAUAGUGUUAAAAGCCUAUAGUUAUAUCUGGAUAUUUGAAAAUCCCUGGGAAUUGCAAAUACCAAAUUAUAGCAUGUUGUUUCAGUGUAUAUAAAUGAGAUUAAAAUAAAGAUGCUGAAGAAUAGUAAACACCCAAUAAAACACUCCAUCAGUUGGGGAGGGGCAGUGAUGAGAUCACGUAUGACUAGAUUAGGCUGAUUGAGUUAUCCGGAAGGGAAGUGCUGGAGGGGGACAAAACCCAGCAAAAGGGAUCUUCCCCUCAGUGGCCUCCUUCCCCAGUCAUCUUGGAAACCUCUCUGUCUCCUGUGUCAUUUGUCCAGCUUCAACACAUCUGAAAGACUACUGACAGACAGCAAGACAACAGGUUAGUUUCCAUUAUUUUACCAUCAGUUUACCCCUGAGAAAUAGAAGAGUGGGAAAAGUCCAUAGAGGGCCAUUUUAGGUGUUGAAGUGAGUUAGAUAAAAGGCAGGACUGGCUGCAGAGGCAGGACUGGCUGUGAAAGAUGAAAGGAAGGGCUGGCUGCAGAACAAGAAAUCUAAGCCCUUUUUGAAACUUGUCCUUGAAACUUAUCACCAGACCCCAAGACAGGAUAAAUGGUUAAUAAUCUGGGAGCUGCUGAGACCAGCUGUCACCAGCUAGAACCAACAUGGGGAAGGAUUUCACCUGGCAUGGAGUGACCCUAGGACUCAUUAUAUGCUCAUUAUAAUACAUUAGCACGGUAAAAGACACAUUCAGCGCCACCACUGUUAGAAAUUGAAAGACCAUAAAAGGUCACAAAAUGGCCCACAGAGACCUUUUGAGAACUCUCCACCUGCACUUCCCAGAAAACCCCUGACUAUUCCUCCUGCAAAUUUAAAUGUACAGCCCCUUAACUUAAAGGCAUACCAAUAAUAGGCUCAAAACACCAGCAGGAGUGCUGCUGCUCUGUCUAUGGAGUAGUCUGCUUUUCCUUUUUCCUCCACUUAAAUAAACGUAUCCUUGCUUUACUUACUUUUCGGCUAGUCCUUGAAUUCUUUUCUACACCCUGCAAAGAACCCAAUGGUCCAGGCCCCUCCUCUGGGCCUCCCUGGGCAGAGGCAUCGCCUAGCCCCCUGCAACAGAAGUAAGGAUACUUAAUUGUUUAACACUAUUUCUUAGCACAGAGCCUGAUUAAAAAAAUAUUUCAAAAAUGUUCUUUUUAGACGAAGGUAAAAAUUUCUAAGGAAUGGUCACCCAGCACCUGAUUUGAGUGGGGUGGUGGCUGAGCAGUCAUGGAGCCCUGAAGCCUUUCAUGAAGGGCUUUUAAAAACUGUGAAGUGCAAGAAAUGUGGGGCCUUUGGGCAGAGGGCCAGUAGCAGGAUGUGCCCCGUGCAGUUCUGGAGUGGGGCCCUUGCCCCCAGCCCUUGGGCUCCAAUAAAAAAGAUAACCUGAAGCUCAUGAAGGCCCAAGACCUCCAGACUCCAGGGUCCUGUCACAAGUUUGACAGAGACAAAGAACCAAAACAAAGGCAAGAAGAGCAGCAGAGAAAAAUUCUACCACAGGAAUUUCCUAUGAGGCCCCGAGAGAAGCAACAGAGGACCUGGCAGGAAUCCCCCGAAUCAGCAUCUCACCAGGCCAGUGUCUGUCCAAACGACCAAGAAGACACCUGUGUUCAGCCCUGUUCUCCUAGGUCAGCCACCAGUCAAGACACCUGAUGUGAGGUCAUCCUGCUCUAAACAGCCUCUUUAGAAAGCACUUGAAGUGAGGUAGCAAAAGAUAUUUUAAAGUCACCGUUGGAGCUGGCUGAGUGACUGUUAAGAGUUGCCUUAAGAGUGCAAGCUCUGAGCAAUAGGGCUGCUGGUUUGAUUCCCACAUGGGCCAGUGACACUGCGCCUGAGCUGAGCUGUCGCGAAGCUGCCAACAGGACAGGUUGGCUCAGCUAGUGUAACAACAAGAUUGUCUGUUUGAUGGUGGGCUAUGUCCAUCCGCAACUAAAUUGAA